CCGAAAUCAUAUAAUCUAACGUAUUUCGAUUUAUCCGUCAUUUCUUGUUAGAAACGCGAACCUUACGGAAGAAAUGGCCUCCAAUAGAUUUCCAGAAAGCAAUCGUCGUACGGACGAUGAAAAUUUUCGGGAAAUAAAAUCAUCAAAACAAAUCAUUUUAGGCUGGGACAGUUUUAAUUCGAUAACAUUCUUGAUCCUGAUCGUACUUUUUACCGUUUGGUGUUUAGCAUUUUUCAUAAAUUAUGUGCCAAAAGAGAAGAAUUCUAGUGUUAGUGGACACCAUGAUCAUUCAAUGCAUGGACAUUAAAAGAUGAAAGAUGGACGGAAGAAGAAAGAUAAUUUGAUAAAAAAAAAAAAAAAAAAAAAAAAGGGAUAAGUUCCAUAAAUUUGUAGUAUAUUAUCGUGAUUGAAUUUCACUUAACAUUCAAUUUAUAUAUUAAUGACAUCCUUAUUAAUGACAUCCUUAUUAAUGAAAAAGAAAAAACUUGUGAUCUAUAACAAAACGUUGAUAUUGUUAUUAAUCGUUCUAUAGAAGUAAAUAAAAAGGUGCUGUAUGUAAUGAAUUAGGCUGUUCCUCGAUGCGGAAGCGAAAUGUUUCAUCUUUGCAUACAUUUCAACAAUACGAUCGUUCUAUAUCGACGUACGAAGAGAACUCUUGUUAUCGGUUAAAUCUGGAACAACGUUGUGAAUUUCAAGGAGUCGAGAGAUUGGAAGGCAUGCUCGUUAGCCUCGAUAACGAGACGGUUUAAUCAUCUGUUCAAUGAAAGAGAGAGAGAAAGAGAAACUAUUCCUACCGCAAAGCAAUUCGUCCUAUUAAAGAAUCACUGUCGAAGAAGGAAAGCAACCGAACGAAUUUAUAUCCAAGUUGCAAAUCAUACAUAUAUACAUACGAUUAAUAAUUCCAUCAUUAUGACGAUAAUAUCGUUGUUUACAGCAGAACAAGGAAAAAGUACUUUACAAUGAGAAAUAAUUAUACACGACUGGUGAGGAUUGUCCAGGAAUCUUUUUUUCAACGGCCGACGGCGAGAUAGGACAAAGAGCGCAAAAGUAGGAGACCGACAGAAAGAGUCAUUAUGCUCGACGUGCCUACGAGGGAAAAGAAUCUCGCGUAAUUUUGCGUCGGAGGAUUUGCGGGUGAAAGGAUUGGUAUAGUUUCGAACGAAGGAAAAAAAAAUAAAUCCAUCUCGUUGUUUGCGAUUCAACAAGAGAAAGAAAAAAAAAGAAAGGAAGGAAGAAAGAGAGAGAGAGAGAGAGAGAGAGAGAGAGAGAGAGAGAGAGAGAGAAAGAGAGAAAGGAAGCCAAUGAAACGUUCUUAAAAGAUGGCCUUAUUUAUGAAAACAAGUAAAAUCUAGCUUAUUCGAAUUCAUUGAAUUUUAUAUUAUAUCUGUUUGGUUUUUGCUAUCUCAUCGAAUCAUUGGAAAUAUUUGAACGGAACGUUCCUCUCAAAUGUUUUACGUUGUCGCCAUGCUUCCUGAAAAAUGCAUGACGUUGUGUGCUCACAAAAUUGGAAGGAAAAGAACAAUACGUGCAUUACACUUUCUUUCUCUUUCUCUUUCUAUUUCUCUCUCUCUUUUUCUCCCUUUCUUCUUCUCUCAUACGUAACUUUACAGCGUUCUUUCGUCCCCGAAGAGAAGAUUGUUGCGCAAACGUCAGAGAGAAAACACACAACGUGUACAUAGACACAAUUUUUAAUACGCCUCUUGCGAAACUAGCUUGCUCGUAGAAUUUUAUCAGCCGCCUUGGAUCUUCCUCUUCGCGAUUACUGAAACCCAAGUAUUGCUUUUGGGAAUUACCGAUUCUCAGAGGGAUUUCUUUCCCUCUCUCUUUCUUUCUCUCUCUCUCUCUCUCUCUCUCCUUCUUUCUCCUCCUCUCUCUUUCGCUCUCUCUUUCAAAGAGAAAAUGAGAACGAGAGAGAAAGAGAGAGAAGGCAAGAGAGACAUCGUAGAGGGAUAUUCCCGGAAAGCCGGAACGAUGGAAAAAGGAUUUCCACGUUUGUGCUUGCGAUCUUUCAGGCUGUCAUAAUGAGAAAUGUCUCUGUCAUUGGUCGAUUCUUUCGAUGACAUUUACAGUCUUUGUAAAAUGAUCUUACUUUUUGUUUUUAAACUGUAAAGAUAGAAAGAGAGGAAGAGAAAGAGAGAGAGAGAGAGAGAGAGAGAAAGAGUGACUUCUUGAACGUUUAAAAGUAUCUUCGAGAGUCUUUUCUAUGGAAAAAAAAAAAAAAAAAAGAAAAAUAGUUGCUUCGAAAAGAAAAAAGAUGAAA